rnacentral:rRNA from 1 species
AACGAACGCUGGCGGCAGGCUUAACACAUGCAAGUCGAACGCAUCGCAAGAUGAGUGGCAGACGGGUGAGUAACGCGUGGGAACAUACCCUUUUCUACGGAAUAGCUCUGGGAAACUGGAAUUAAUACCGUAUACGCCCUACGGGGGAAAGAUUUAUCGGGGAAGGAUUGGCCCGCGUUGGAUUAGCGAGUUGGUGGGGUAAAGGCCUACCAAGGCGACGAUCAAUCGCUGGUCUGAGAGGAUGAUCAGCCUCAUUGGGACUGAGACACGGCCCAACCUCCGACGGGAGGCGGCAGUGGGGAGUAUUGGACAAUGGGCGCAAGCCUGAUCCAGCCAUGCCGCGUGAGUGAUGAAGGCCUUAGGGUUGUAAAGCUCUUUCACCGAUGAAGAUAAUGACGGUAGUCGGAGAAGAAGCCCCGGCUAACUUCGUGCCAGCCGCCGCCGUAA